CUUAAAUGGAGUUGCUAUUGUUCAGUGAUCGGACAGGGCUUUCCCCUGGUGGUUCCUGUUUGCUCCCAACGACUUCCCUGCUGAUGUCAUCAGACCUUCAGUUUCAUGGGGGCAGUGACUUGAGACUGGAUUGAGCUGGAAGUAUUCCAGGAAUGACUCAGUAAAGAAAGUGGACACAGCCACAGAACUUCUUCCUGGUGGUGUAUGUCAAGAUAGCGGUUCUACCAGGCUCUCUCCGCGUGACCUUGGGCAGAUCUCAUCCCCUUGCAAGCCUCAGCUUCCUCAUCUGUAAAAUGAAGGGCUUAGAUAAUGGCCUUAAGAAUCUUUCCAGCUUUGAUGUAGGAUUCUGUGGUGUCAAAAAGAAGAGAUAUUGUAUUAUUGUGAAUUGAAAUAUAAUUAUCUUUUAUGCUCCACAUGUAAUUUUCUACUUCUCAGGCUACCUGUUAUAUAGUGUCAAC